AUGGGGUCAUGGCUCAGGGGUAGAGCAUUCGCCCAGCAUGUGCAAGGCUGUGAGUUCGAUCCUAAGCACCACAUA
rnacentral:tRNA from 1 species